rnacentral:rRNA from 1 species
CUUAAAAUCUACAUUUUGUAAAAAGAAUGUCGAGUUGUAGCUUUUGGAGGCACUAUUGAGUGGCUAAUCUUGGUAAAAGUUCUUUUGAAUAAGGCAUCAAAGAGGGUGAAAAUCCCGUAUUUGACCAGGAAUUAAUUAGUUGCGAUAUCAAGUGUUUUCUUUGAGUCGGGUUGUUUGGGAAUGCAGCCCUAAUUGGGAGGUAAAUUUCUUCCAAAGCUAAAUAUCAGCAAGAGACCGAUAGCAUACAAGUACCGUGAGGGAAAGAUGAAAAGCACUUUGAAAAGAGAGUGAAAAGUACGUGAAAUUGUUGGAAGGGAACCGGUUGAUGGCCAAGCUUUUUUGACCAGAAUUUAUUUCUGGUUAAAGGGUCAACAUCGGUUGUUUAUGACUAGAAGGGAUUUUUACCAGUUGAUGUGGGAAAUGUAUAAAGUUUGGCCGGGAAAUUUAUUUUUUCCAGUUAGAUUUUAGUUAUAGACCCACGCAGAUUGGUUUUUGCAAGCUCCGAUAGUCGUGGCGACCGAGGAAUGCAGUGUGUUCUCGGCGAAUUGUCUAGAUGUAUUGUAGAAUUUACCUGGGCGUAGACAGCAUUGCUGACUAGGUCUGUUAUUUUAUAUAUAAGCUGGGGUAAUUUGACCAAAAAACACUUUGGAUGUUGGCGAAAAGGCAUCAAUCGACCCGUCUUGAAACACGGACCAAGGAGUCCAACAUGCAUGCGAGUAUCUGGGAAUUUUUUUAAACCCAUGUGCGUAAUGAAAGUGAAAAAUAAUCAUUAGUAUGUAACCCACUCUAUGAGUGGGGCAACAUCAACCGACUUUAGAUAGCGCUGCUUGAAAAGGUUGAGUAAGAGCAUGUAUGCUGGGACCCGAAAGAUGGUGAACUAUGCCUGAAUAGGGUGAAGUCAGAGGAAACUCUGAUGGAAGCUCGUAGAGAUUCUGACGUGCAAAUCGAUCUCAGAAUUUGGGUAUAGGGGCGAAAGACUAAUCGAACCAUCUAGUAGCUGGUUCCUGCCGAAGUUUCCCUCAGGAUAGCAGAGACUGGAAUAUGAUUUUUUUUUUAA